rnacentral:rRNA from 1 species
AGCAGCCGCGGUAAUUCCAGCUCCAAUAGCGUAUAUUAAAGUUGUUGCAGUUAAAAAGCUCGUAGUUGAAUUUCGGGAUCAAAGAAUCGGUCAUGCCUUGGUAUGUACUGGUUUUAUUGGUUCUCACCUUCUAAAGAACCAUGAUGUCAUUCAUUUGAUGUUAUGGGGAAUUAGGACUGUUACCUUGAAAAAUUAGAGUGUUUAAAGCAAGCUUACGCUUGAAUACAUUAGCAUGGAAUAAUGAAAUAGGACAUCAGAUUCUAUUUUGUUGGUUUCUAGGAUCGAUGUAAUGAUUAAUAGGGAUAGUUGGGGGCAUUAGUAUUCAAUUGUCAGAGGUGAAAUUCUUGGAUUUAUUGAAGACUAACUACUGCGAAAGCAUUUGCCAAGGAUGUUUUCAUUAAUCAAGAACGAAAGUUAGGGGAUCGAAGACGAUCAGAUACCGUCGUAGUCUUAACCAUAAACUAUGCCGACUAGGGAUCGGAUGAUGUAAUUUUUAAUGACUC